CCCAGCGCUGAAUCCCCCGGUCCACUGGGCCGGCGGGAAAUGUAGCGUUAGGGAGCGUCCGCAUACCCGGGCGGCCGCGGCAAGCACAAGUCUCCCUUGAACGGUGCCAUAAUCCAUAGAGGGUGCCAGGCCCGUACUGCUGCCGCGUCGUCCGAGUGGGCGUCUCCUGGGAGUCGGUCUGUUUGAGAACGCAGACCUAAGCGGGUGGUAAACUCCAUCUAAGGCUAAAUAUGACCACGAGACCGAUAGCGCACAAGUACCGUGAGGGAAAGGUGAAAAGAACUUUGAAGAGAGAGUUCAAGAGUACGUGAAACUGGAGAGGUGAAAACGGAUGUGGUUCGAAAUUCCGAACGGCGGUGUUCAGUCUCACCGGCCUCCCGGGCCCCCCUUCCGCAGAGACCAAGGGUCCUCGCCGGCGUGCGGCUGCCUCUCGGGGUGGUCGUCGCGUCGCCUGGGCCCCUCUCGGUUGUGGUUCAAUGCUGGUCCGGGGCGGUGUGGAUGCACUCGCUGCCGUAGUAGGAUGUCGCGACUCGUUGGGUGGCGGUCGCGAGGCUGGGCGGGGUAGCCCGGUGUCCGUGUGUCGUGCGCCUCUGAGGUGAAAUGCACGCGGUGCGGCCCGGACCCGCCUGUGUCCUCUCCGUCUGCCCGACGGUAUCGAAAAGGCGUCGGGGUUUUCCGGCCCGCUGCUAAUGCCCCUUGCUCGUCUCGGGGUAGGCGGGUCAGCGCCCCGACUGUCUGCGGCAUUGCCUGUUUCGGAUCCAUAUCCGACCCGUCUUGAAACACGGACCAAGGAGCGUAACACAUGCGCGAGUCGAAGGGUGCUUCUAAACCCGGAGGCGAAGCGAAAGCGUAAGGGACGAUGGCCACUUGUCGUGCUCUCCCGCUCGUCGGGAUCCGGCAGGCCCGCAGUCCCGGGGCACCUCAUUUCUCUGUCCGGGCCUCGCGCCCGGCUGAGUCGAGGCGCACCUGUGAGCGUAUGUGUUGUUACCCGAAAGAUGGUGAACUAUGCCUGGCCAGGACGAAGCCAGGGGAAACCCUGGUGGAAGUCCGUAGCGAUUCUGACGUGCAAAUCGAUCGUCGGAGCUGGGUAUAGGGGCGAAAGACUAAUCGAACCAUCUAGUAGCUGGUUCCCUCCGAAGUUUCCCUCAGGAUAGCUGGCGCUCGGAGGAUAUAUGAAACGGAUGUAGAGUCUCAUCCGGUAAAGCGAAUGAUUAGAGGCCUUGGGGCCGAAACGACCUCAACCUAUUCUCAAACUUUAAAUGGGUGAGAACCCCGGCUUGCUUGAGACCGGUGUGCCUCCCGCGGCCUGCUGUUUCUCCCGCAAGGGGUCCAGCGCGCGGGGGUCCCGGGCACCUUGCUUGAAGCCGGGGAACUUUAUAUGCUGGAUCAUGAGUGCCAAGUGGGCCAAUUUUGGUAAGCAGAACUGGCGCUGUGGGAUGAACCAAACGCAGAGUUAAAGCGCCUAAAUCGACGCUCAUGGGAGACCAUGAAAGGUGUUGGUUGCUUAAGACAGCAGGACGGUGGCCAUGGAAGUCGGAAUCCGCUAAGGAGUGUGUAACAACUCACCUGCCGAAGCAACUAGCCCUUAAAAUGGAUGGCGCUGAAGCGUCGUGCUUAUACUCUGCCGCCGGUGGCAAAAGCGGCCGGUAAGGCGGACGGCCUCCGCCUCGCGGUGGAGAAACCGGCCCCGAGCCUUGAGGCCCCGGUGAGUAGGAGGGUCGCUCGGGUGGCGCAGAAGGGUCUGGGCGUGAGCCUGCCUGGAGCCGCCCGAGGUGCAGAUCUUGGUGGUAGUAGCAAAUACUCCAGAGAGGGCCCUGGAGGGCUGAUGCGGAGAAGGGUUCCGUGUGAACAGCUGUUGCACACGGGUCAGUCGAUCCUAAGCCCUAGGAGAACUCCUAUGUGCGAUGUGCGGGUGUUUUCUCGUCCGUCAAACGACUUGAUCUCUACCCCCGCCGCCGGGCGAAAGGGAAUCAGGUUCCUAUUCCUGAACCCAGAUGCGGUACCGUUCUACCGGGCUUGUCUCGAAGCCGUCGCUGCCCGUCCCGGUUCGUCCGGUUCGGUGUCAGGGGCGUGCCUAGGGCGAACUCGUCGGGGUAACCCGAACAGCCACGGAGAAGCCGGCCGGAGCCCCCGGGAGAGUUGUCUUUUCUGUAUUACCGUGCAAGUUCCCUGGAAUUCCAUUGCGGAGAGAGAGGGAAUAGCGCGGGAAGAGCACCGCACUUGCGGCGGUGUCGGGGGUGACCGCUCGGACCAUGAAAAUCCGUGUGAGGGCUACGGAGAACAACCGAUCUGGCUCGUACCCAUAUCCGCAGC
rnacentral:rRNA from 1 species